rnacentral:misc_RNA from 1 species
UCCGAGUUGACCCCGGCAGUCUCCUAUGAGUCCCCGACAUUACUCGCUGGCAACAUAGAACGAGGGUUGCGCUCGUUGCGGGACUUAACCCAACAUCUCACGACACGAGCUGACGACAGCCAUGCAGCACCUGUGUCGGCUCCCCUUGCGGGGUCAGGCCCCUUUCGGUUUCCUACCACCGACAUGUCAAGCCCAGGUAAGGUUUUUCGCGUUGCGUCGAAUUGAACCACAUGCUCCACCGCUUGUGCGGGUCCCCGUCAAUUCCUUUGAGUUUUAAUCUUGCGACCGUACUCCCCAGGCGGAAUGCUUAAUGCGUUAGCUGCGACACUGACGAGCAUGCUCGCCAACGUCUAGCGUUCAUCGUUUACGGCGUGGACUAC